GAGACAGAGAGAGGCAGAGACACAGGAAAAUCUGAAACCCUCCGUCAGUAAGUAGAACCUGUCAGCAACCAAACCCGGAGCUGUGAAGUCCAUUACGCUUCCCACACAUAAAUUUUCAAUAACUCAUGAUGGCAUUACGUAGCCCUCUUACCCUCUGAUUCUCCCCGCCUCCUCGGGAGACCAGCCACAGAGCUGGGUCGCAGGGGGGUUAGGAAAGUCAAGGGCUGGAAUAUUGGAGCUAUGAGAUUUCAGCCAGGACUCAAAAGAAGUGGAGAUUGAAGAAAAUGCUGUUUUUUCCCUUAUAAAUGGUUUCUAUUAGAGUCACUCUUCUCAGGGAACCUAUCGCACAGGGGAACAUCAGGGACAUCACAAUGGAGAAAAGGUUUGGAAUCAUCAACUCCAGAGAUCACAAAUAGGCAGAGAAGCAGGCAGGGGAAG